CUGGUUCAAAGCUCCCAGGCAUAAUUCAGGUCAUGGACCACACUGCUGAUAGGCUGCUCUCCAAACCUUAGAGCAGCGCAGCCACCAGUUAACCACAAUUUUGAGAUUGCGGUAAGGACUGAAGCUUAAAUCGCGAUUUCGCUCAACUUGCAAUAUCAGCGCAAUGAAAAAGGCUUGCAAAAAGACGAUAUCGCUUGCGCAAAACCAUUUGCGCCUCACUUGUAAUGUCCAGGGUUAUGCUUUGCGCUCACAAGAGCACACUUUUAUAGACUCCAAUGGGAUCCUUGUUCUCAUGCCGUCAGACACAACAGAGAAGCUAGCGCAGAAAAGGGGAAGAUCAGAAAUGCAAACUACCUUGCAAAUCCACGGCAAAUCCAGAGUGCUACAGUAAUGAAUAGAGUUGUAUGGCAGAGACCCAGCACCCCCGAGAACUGCCAAGUCUUUCCCACUACUUCAGAAAGACUAGAGUGCAUCUCGCAUACUAGUUUGCUUGAUCCUUCUACCAAGCAGUGCAUAAUCACAUUUACACCAGGCAUCUGAUUCACCAUAGCAAAAGAGAAGAUGUAAACAAACUAGAGUGUUUUGAAGAUUACACACGCCAAUAUGUGUUUGGCGAUGGUGGGAGCAAGAGGGGACAAAUGCACCUCCUGAAAUUUUCUUCCUUAUAUCAAAGUACGCACUUGAGUCACUUUUUUUAUUCCAAUGGGCUACCAUUAAAAUGAUUU